rnacentral:rRNA from 1 species
GUCAAGUAAGAAUACCCGCUGAACUUAAGCAUAUCAAUAAGCGGAGGAAAAGAAACUAACUAGGAUUCCCUUAGUAACGGCGAGUGAACUGGGAAGAGCACAAAUUUUAAGUCACCUCGGUGAAUUGUAAUUUGAAGAGCGUGUCUUGACGUUCCGAUCUGGUCCAAGUCCUCUGGGAUGAGGUAUCAUAGAGGGUGAGAAUCCCGUUCGUGAUUAGACCUCGGGAUGCACAAAUUCACGCUCCAAGAGUCGAGUUGUUUGGGAUUGCAGCUCAAAAUGGGUGGUAAAUUUCACCUAAGGCUAAAUAUAUGCAAGAGACCGAUAGCGAACAAGUACCGUGAGGGAAAGAUGAAAAGAACUUUGAAAAGAGAGUUAAACAGUACGUGAAAUUGUUGAAAGGGAAACGAUUGAAGUCAGUCAUGCUAGUGGGGAACCAACUUGGUGGUUUUUCCUCCUCGUGUACUUCCUUGCUCGGCAGGUUAGCAUCAAUUUCGGUUGUCAUCAAAUAAUUGGGGGAAUGUGUCUUUCUUCGGGAAGUGUUUAUAGACCCUGGUUGAUGUGGCGACUGGGAUUGAGGAUUGCAGCGGAUGCCUUUGGCUAGUCACCUGUCUACUGACGGUCACCUCGCUUUCGACAGCUUGCUAACGAUGGUGAGAUUUGGCGGUCUAGUAUUCAGAGUGAACAUAAAUUCGCUAAGGAUGCUGACGUAAUGGCUUUAAACGACCCGUCUUGAAACACGGACCAAGGAGUCUAACAUGUAUGCGAGUGUU